rnacentral:rRNA from 1 species
UACGUAGGGUGCAAGCGUUAAUCGGAAUUACUGGGCGUAAAGCGUGCGCAGGCGGUGAUGUAAGACCGAUGUGAAAUCCCCGGGCUUAACCUGGGAACUGCAUUUGUGACUGCACGGCUAGAGUGCGGCAGAGGGGGAUGGAAUUCCGCGUGUAGCAGUGAAAUGCGUAGAUAUGCGGAGGAACACCAGUGGCGAAAGCGGCCACCUGGACUGUACCUGACGCUCAAACACGAAAGCUAGGGGAGCGAACCGGG